rnacentral:rRNA from 1 species
CUCCUGCUCAAUGGUUAACUAAAUAGCCGCAGUACUCUGACUGUGCAAAGGUAGCAUAAUCAAUUGGCCUAUAAUUGAGGUCUGGCAUGAAAGGACGUAUGGGUAUUAGCUGUCUUUUUGGAAUAUAUAUAACUUAUUAAGUAAGUGCAAAUGCUUACAGAGAAAUAAAAGACGAGAAGACCCUAGAAAUUUUUUAUCACCUGAUUUUAAUGAUCAUUACUAUUUUGCUGGGGCGGCAGAGUGACAUAUAACUCACUUAAUUAUAUGGGCAGUUUAACAGAAUAUAUACAAUUACUCUAGGGAUAACAGCAUAAUUAAUUUAUAGAUUGUGACCUCGAUGUUGGAUUAAGAAUUGCGCUAUCUAGAAGAUAGCGCAAUUUGCUCUGUUCGAGCAGUAACUCUU